rnacentral:rRNA from 1 species
CGGACGGGUGAGUAACGCGUAAGAAUCUAGCUUCAGGUUCGGGACAACAGUUGGAAACGACUGCUAAUACCGGAUGUGCCUACGGGUGAAAGGCUUGCUGCCUGAAGAAGAGCUUGCGUCCGAUUAGCUAGUUGGUGAGGUAAAGGCUUACCAAGGCGUCGAUCGGUAGCUGGUCUGAGAGGAUGACCAGCCACACUGGGACUGAGACAAGGCCCAGACUCCUACGGGAGGCAGCAGUGGGGAAUUUUCCGCAAUGGGCGAAAGCCUGACGGAGCAAUACCGCGUGCGGGAGGACAGUCCAUCGGAUUGUAAACCGCUUUUCUCUGGGAAGAACACAAUGACGGUACCAGAGGAAUCAGCAUCGGCUAACUCCGUGCCAGCAGCCGCGGUAAGACGGAGGAUGCAAGCGUUAUCCGGAAUGAUUGGGCGUAAAGCGUCCGCAGGUGGUCAAUCAAGUCUGCUGUCAAAGCGCGAGGCUUAACCUCGUAAAGGCAGUGGAAACUGAUAGACUAGAGGAUGGUAGGGGUAGAGGGAAUUCCCAGUGUAGCGGUGAAAUGCGUAGAUAUUGGGAAGAACACCAGUGGCGAAAGCGCUCUACUGGGCCAUACCUGACACUGAGGGACGAAAGCUAGGGGAGCGAAAGGGAUUAGAUACCCCUGUAGUC